GAUGAAGAACGCAGCGAAAUGCGAUAAGUAAUGUGAAUUGCAGAAUUCAGUGAAUCAUCGAAUCUUUGAACGCACAUUGCGCCCGCCAGUAUUCUGGCGGGCAUGCCUGUUCGAGCGUCAUUACAACCCUCAGGCCCCCGGGCCUGGCGUUGGGGAUCGGCGGAAGCCCCCUGUGGGCACACGCCGUCCCUCAAAUACAGUGGCGGUCCCGCCGCAGCUUCCAUUGCGUAGUAGCUAGCACCUCGCAACUGGAGAGCGGCGCGGCCAUGCCGUAAAACACCCAACUUCUGAAUGUUGACCUCGAAUCAGGUAGGAAUACCCGCUGAACUUAAGCAUAUCAAUAAGCGGAGGA
rnacentral:misc_RNA from 1 species